rnacentral:rRNA from 1 species
CCUACGGGAGGCAGCAGUGGGGAAUAUUGCACAAUGGGCGAAACCCUGAUGCAGCGAAGCAGCGUGAAGGAAGAAGUAGGUAGGGAUGUAAACUUCUAUCAGCAGGGAAGAAAAUGACGGUACCUGUCUAAGAAGCCAUGGAUAACACCGUGCCAGCAGCCGCGGUAAUACGACGGGGGCAAGCGUUAUCCGGAUUUACUGGGUGUAAGGGGAGCGUAGGCGGUUUAGCAAGUCAGAAGUGAAAGCCCGGGGCUCAACCCCGGGAUUGCUUUUGAAACUGGUGAACUAGAUUGCAGGAGAGGUAAGUGGAAUUCCGUGUGUAGCGGUGAAAUGCGUAGAUAUUAGGAGGAACACCGGUGGCGAAGGCGGCUUACUGGACUGUAAAUGACGCUGAGGCUCGAAAGCGUGGGGAGCAAACAGGAUUAGAUACCCCAGUAGUC